rnacentral:tRNA from 1 species
GCGCCCGUAGCUUAACGGAGAAAGCAGCGGCCUUCGAAGCCGCCGAUGGGGGUUCGAUUCCCUCCGGGCGCGCCA